rnacentral:rRNA from 1 species
UCUAGUGGCGCACGGGUGCGUAACGCGUGGGAACCUGCCCUUGGGUUCGGAAUAACGUCGGGAAACUGACGCUAAUACCGGAUAAUGUCUUCGGACCAAAGAUUUAUCGCCAAAGGAUGGGCCCGCGUAGGAUUAGCUAGUUGGUGAGGUAAUGGCUCACCAAGGCGACGAUCCUUAGCUGGUCUUAGAGGAUGAUCAGCCACACUGGGACUGAGACACGGCCCAGACUCCUACGGGAGGCAGCAGUGGGGAAUAUUGGACAAUGGGCGAAAGCCUGAUCCAGCAAUGCCGCGUGAGUGAUGAAGGCCUUAGGGUUGUAAAGCUCUUUUACUGGGGAUGAUAAUGACAGUACCCAGAGAAUAAGCCCCGGCUAACUCCGUGCCAGCAGCCGCGGUAAUACGGAGGGGGCUAGCGUUGUUCGGAAAUACUGGGCGUAAAGCGCACGUAGGCGGUGGAGUAAGUCAGAGGUGAAAUCCCAGGGCUCAACCCUGGAACUGCCUUUGAAA